rnacentral:rRNA from 1 species
UCAGACGAUGCGUCAUGCAUAUCAAUAAGCGGAGGAAAAGAAACUAACAAGGAUUCCCUUAGUAACGGCGAGUGAAGCGGGAAGAGCUCAAAUUUGAAAUCUUCAAGGUUUUACCUUGACGAAUUGUAGUUUAAAGAAGUGUUUUCUGUUGAAGUUUUGGUAAAAGUUCUUUGGAAUAGGACAUCAUAGAGGGUGAGAAUCCCGUAUUUGACCAUUAUUUUCAGCUUUGUGAUACACUUUCAAAGAGUCGGAUUGUUUGGGAAUGCAGUCCAAAAUGGGUGGUAAAUUUCAUCUAAAGCUAAAUAUUGGCGAGAGACCGAUAGCGAACAAGUACCGUGAGGGAAAGAUGAAAAGAACUUUGAAAAGAGAGUUAAACAGUACGUGAAAUUGUCAAAAGGGAAGCGUUUGACACCAGUGUUGUUUUCUCGAAAAUCAAUUAAAAAGAGUUAGAUUUUGUUGUGUAUUGACCUUAACAGCUUGCAUUUCAAUUUUCUUGCUUUUUUUAAUGCACUUUUCGUUUAACAAGUCAACAUCAGUUUCUUUUGUUGUAAAAAGGUCAUUGGAAGGUGGCUUUCUUUUCGGAGAAAGUGUUUAUAGCCUUUGACUCCUGCAAUCGGAGAGACUGAGGUCUGCAGCGUAGAUCCUUCGGGGUUAGAUACAUUUGUGCUAAGUUAUAGCUUUUUAUAGACAACUUGUUGACUAUAAUUAGUCUUGUAGCUUACUCGCUUAUGCUAUUUUACCUACGCUUAGGAUGUUGAGUCGUAGAGCACGCAG